GGAGAGGUGCCAGAGUGGACGAAUGGGCCUGACUCGAAAUCAGGAGUGCUCUUGCGGGCACCCAGGGUUCGAAUCCCUGCCUCUCCGCCA
rnacentral:tRNA from 1 species